rnacentral:lncRNA from 1 species
ACGAUGAUGGCCGCAGCGAGAACGGCGUUCGUCUCCGGCGACCUACUUCCACUCAACGUCUCCUCCUCGGCGUCAAUCCCCACCCUGGCAAAAACCCAAGGUAUCACCAAAUCCAUCUCGUUCGGUUCUGGGCGCCGUCGCCGGCCGCGAGAUCCACAGUCCAUACCUACCACCAGGCAAGCCUCCUCUGCUAUCUAGAGAUAUUUUCCGCCAUAUUGAAAAACAUCACCCGAAAAAUCCAACAUAUGUACUAUUGCUCAGAUUUAGUGAUAAUAUUGAUAUGCAGUUCAGAUAGCUAGUACAUAUUUGCAGUUUAAAGAUAAUAUUAUUAGUACAUUAUUGUUCCAGUGCAUUGUGAAACAUACUUCUCACAAGAAGAACUAUGAUAGAUUACCAAAGUAGUUACAAAAUAUGAUGUGCAUAGAUUGCGAUGGAUUUUCUUGUGCUCAGUAUCCCACCUAUUUCAUCUUGGACCAGAUAGAAUCGAUGCAGAGGGUGGAGC